rnacentral:lncRNA from 1 species
ACAUUGAUGAGAUUUUCCAUGGCCUCAGCCAGAUAUUUUCUGAAGUGAAUAUGAUCCAGGCUAGUGAAGGCACUAAUCGUGCUGAUAUGCAACUAAUUGACCCAGACACCAUGCUCACCAACUGGGAAGCAACUCCUCUCCCUACAAGGAAUGAGUCUUGGUAGUUAUCUUUUGCAGCUUCUUUUUUGUAUUUCGGGUUACUUUUAGGGUUGUAAUCCAAACAUCUCAGUAUGAUUGUUUUGUUUUGAUAUUAACCCUUCUAUCCUUUCAAAUUCAAUGAAAUGCAGUUCAGUUUUCCAUUAAGUUUUCUAUCUUUUCCUCUUCCUAAUUCCAGUCACUGUAUUUCCAUUUCAGUUUUGUUAAUGUUGGCUUUAAUAACAUGACAUGUAUGUAAAAUUCACGCCCAGAUACUAAAAAGUUGUCUAAUAUCAUGAGUCUUGGUAGUUUGCUUUUGCAGUUCCUUUUUUGUAUUUUGAGUUACUUUUAGGGUUGUAAUCUAAACAUCUCAGCGUGAUUUUUUUGCUUUGA